GAUGAACGCUGGCGGCGUGCCUAAUACAUGCAAGUCGAGCGAACGGACGAGAAGCUUGCUUCUCUGAUGUUAGCGGCGGACGGGUGAGUAACACGUGGAUAACCUACCUAUAAGACUGGGAUAACUUCGGGAAACCGGAGCUAAUACCGGAUAAUAUUUUGAACCGCAUGGUUCAAAAGUGAAAGACGGUCUUGCUGUCACUUAUAGAUGGAUCCGCGCUGCAUUAGCUAGUUGGUAAGGUAACGGCUUACCAAGGCAACGAUGCAUAGCCGACCUGAGAGGGUGAUCGGCCACACUGGAACUGAGACACGGUCCAGACUCCUACGGGAGGCAGCAGUAGGGAAUCUUCCGCAAUGGGCGAAAGCCUGACGGAGCAACGCCGCGUGAGUGAUGAAGGUCUUCGGAUCGUAAAGCUCUGUUAUUAGGGAAGAACAUAUGUGUAAGUAACUGUGCACAUCUUGACGGUACCUAAUCAGAAAGCCACGGCUAACUACGUGCCAGCAGCCGCGGUAAUACGUAGGUGGCAAGCGUUAUCCGGAAUUAUUGGGCGUAAAGCGCGCGUAGGCGGUUUUUUAAGUCUGAUGUGAAAGCCCACGGCUCAACCGUGGAGGGUCAUUGGAAACUGGAAAACUUGAGUGCAGAAGAGGAAAGUGGAAUUCCAUGUGUAGCGGUGAAAUGCGCAGAGAUAUGGAGGAACACCAGUGGCGAAGGCGACUUUCUGGUCUGUAACUGACGCUGAUGUGCGAAAGCGUGGGGAUCAAACAGGAUUAGAUACCCUGGUAGUCCACGCCGUAAACGAUGAGUGCUAAGUGUUAGGGGGUUUCCGCCCCUUAGUGCUGCAGCUAACGCAUUAAGCACUCCGCCUGGGGAGUACGACCGCAAGGUUGAAACUCAAAGGAAUUGACGGGGACCCGCACAAGCGGUGGAGCAUGUGGUUUAAUUCGAAGCAACGCGAAGAACCUUACCAAAUCUUGACAUCCUUUGACAACUCUAGAGAUAGAGCCUUCCCCUUCGGGGGACAAAGUGACAGGUGGUGCAUGGUUGUCGUCAGCUCGUGUCGUGAGAUGUUGGGUUAAGUCCCGCAACGAGCGCAACCCUUAAGCUUAGUUGCCAUCAUUAAGUUGGGCACUCUAAGUUGACUGCCGGUGACAAACCGGAGGAAGGUGGGGAUGACGUCAAAUCAUCAUGCCCCUUAUGAUUUGGGCUACACACGUGCUACAAUGGACAAUACAAAGGGCAGCGAAACCGCGAGGUCAAGCAAAUCCCAUAAAGUUGUUCUCAGUUCGGAUUGUAGUCUGCAACUCGACUACAUGAAGCUGGAAUCGCUAGUAAUCGUAGAUCAGCAUGCUACGGUGAAUACGUUCCCGGGUCU
rnacentral:rRNA from 1 species